rnacentral:lncRNA from 1 species
UUCUGGGGACAUAAAUUAAGUUUCAAGAUAUCGAAUAAUUCGAUUUAUAGAAAUUCGACUUAGAGAUUAAUACAAAUGCAUAUUACUGGAAGGCCAUUCGGGAAACAAAAAUUGCUUCGACUUAUCGAAAAUUCGAGUAAUAGAGGUUCGAGUUAUCGAGGUUCCACUGUAUUUAUUAAAAAAUGUUUUCACUCUUCAAACAAAAUUAUCAUCAGUUUUCAGUUCUUACAAGUUAAAUACAAAAAUUUUUUUAAAUACAGUUGUUUGGAUGUUCAAUUGCAUACAUGUGAUGUCUUGCAGUGUAGAACAGAAAC